GAUGAACUCUGGCGGCGUGCCUAAUACAUGCAAGUCGAGCGAACAGACGAGGAGCUUGCUCCUCUGACGUUAGCGGCGGACGGGUGAGUAACACGUGGAUAACCUACCUAUAAGACUGGGAUAACUUCGGGAAACCGGAGCUAAUACCGGAUAAUAUAUUGAACCGCAUGGUUCAAUAGUGAAAGACGGUUUUGCUGUCACUUAUAGAUGGAUCCGCGCCGCAUUAGCUAGUUGGUAAGGUAACGGCUUACCAAGGCAACGAUGCGUAGCCGACCUGAGAGGGUGAUCGGCCACACUGGAACUGAGACACGGUCCAGACUCUUACGGGAGGCAGCAGUAGGGAAUCUUCCGCAAUGGGCGAAAGCCUGACGGAGCAACGCCGCGUGAGUGAUGAAGGUCUUCGGAUCGUAAAACUCUGUUAUUAGGGAAGAACAAAUGUGUAAGUAACUAUGCACGUCUUGACGGUACCUAAUCAGAAAGCCACGGCUAACUACGUG
rnacentral:rRNA from 1 species